UCACUAAUUAUAUUUAAAGAGCAUACAGUAGAAGUUAAGAUUCCCCACAAGACACUGAAGAAAACCUGAGUUCAUAAUCCUCAAAGAAAAAACAUCAAAAGGAAAAUGAUGUUCAAGCUAUCAUUCAUCAGCCUGUUCCUCCUGUUUGUCACUAACACUUCGGGGAUAACUACAGAACUGAUGACCUCAGGGUCUACGACAGACUCAAGUCCCAGGAAGAGCCUGAAUUCCAUGACAACCCCAAGUUUCAAGACAACUUUAAAUCUCCAUAUAACCUCAAAAUCCAAGGCAACUUCAAACCUCCCGAUGAUCUCAAAUAUGAAGAUGAUCUCAAAUGCCAAGACAACUCAGUUAACAACAGUGAGCCCAAAGAUAGUCAUGACCAGAAAUGGGAAUACUAUGAAAAGUGGUAGCACAACACUGAAUCCAAUGGUCAACAUUCACUUUCUUCUCUAUAUACUAUGCUUGCUGUUCUAUGUGUGCUCAGGCUGAAGUGGACUUGAAUGAUCUGCACUCCGAGCUCAGUUCAUUACUAUCUGCUGAAUUACAACAAGCACGCUAAGAAAAUCAAAUUUAUUUCAGUUUAUUUCUUAGGAAGUUACCAUUAUUCUAGCUUAAUUAAGUUGUAAAUUUUCAUUGUGUAAGUUUAAUUAUUACCUCAAUAUAAUGCUUUUCUUCCUUAUAAAUGCCAAAACAAGCAAAAUGCUACACAUUUGCCCUUUAAAUGUUUGCAAAAUUGAACAGAAACUCAGAUUUUUACAUUAAACGUUUAAGAAAUUAUGUUGGUGAUAUUUAACCAAAGUACACCUGUGUGGGAGAGAGGGGGAUAGGAGAUGGGGAAUGAAGACUGGCGUGUGUUAUGUUUAUACUGUUUUAU